GUUUUAUUUUUCUUAUAUGCUAAUGUUUCUGUCUCCUUCAGGCUACUGCACACAGCGGAACCUGAUUGAGGGGGACCUCCACUAUUAGCACAUGUAGUACAUGUACUGGUGUCGUGAGCCUGAGCACAUUUACGGAACCAAAAUCGAGAGAUGGACGCGUACAUCCACAUAGACAAAAAAUGACUGGAUAUGGAAACAAGGUAAUCGAGCUUUGCUUUAUUUCUAUGUCCUACAGUAAGAUCACAUUGGGUCUUUAAACUUAAUAGCUGGGUUGUAAUAUAGAUGUAAAACAAGAUCACAUCAGGGCUUUGAACUUAGUAUAAACAAUGCUGUAAUACUCUUAAAUCAUUAAAACCAAGACACUCUUCUAAGAAUAUGUGAGGGCAAAAAUGGUCUAUCUGCAUAAAUAAUCAUUGGAAGAAAUCUCUUUGUCAUGACACAUCGUUGGCGAGGGGGAAAUUGUGUUUUCAGGAAAGGAUUUACUGUAUGGCAGUCUCCCUUAUUUGCAAAAAAACAAGUAAAAAGAGCCUUGUACAUAGUUUCCCUAAAGCACAAAAUCAUUGUUUCGCCGUAUAAUAAUAUACAUCGGAUGUUACCCCUUCCACGCGGGCAGACUGACCCUUGCAGCCCUAGCACAAUUAGCACUUUGCACACUGGGUAGAAAAACAGGCAACGCAUGGCACCACUUUGCAUAUGUUGACGUGUGUGUUCCUGCAUAUGUGAUGCAGAAAUGGCCACAAAAUAAGAUUUCUGCUGAUAAAAGUUGUGGCCACA